rnacentral:lncRNA from 1 species
CUCACAGGCUCGGUGUGCCCCAGCAGACCUAGCUGCCAGGGCAGUGACAACAUGCGUUACCUUCAUGUCCACUGACGGGUCCCCCUGCAGCAGUGCCCACUCAUACUGGACGAUGGCGUGGUCAUCUGUGCUCUCGCGGCCGUCUAGAACCACCCCGUCUGUGGGCAGAUGCAGAACCACAUCCUGCCCAGCCUUGCUAAGUGGAGGCGCAUCCUUUUCUG